rnacentral:tRNA from 1 species
CAGUAAAUAGUUUAAGAAAAUAUUAAUUUUGGAGAUUAAAGAUAAGCGUUAUAUUUGCUUUUUACUGA